CAACCCCUCAAGCCCUGCUUGGUGUUAGGGCCCUACGUGCGCCGUAGGCCCCGAAUUCCAGUGGCGGGCUCGCCGCGGUCCCGAGCGUAGUAGCAUACCUCGCUCCAGGGCCCCCGCGGCGGGUGCCAGCCGUCAAAACACGGAGCGUGGGUUUCCGAACCCCCGCCCGACUCGUAA
rnacentral:misc_RNA from 1 species